ensembl:lncRNA
CAAGAACAAAUAGCCUUAAGAUAAAGAUACGACUUCCCCUACUUGGGCAUUUCCUUAAGCAUGAGCAUCUCUCCCUAGGCUAGGAAUUGAUUGCUGCGCCCACGCUGUGACCAACCAGCUUGAGACAGAAGACCUGCUAUCCUGCUGUAAGAAUAGCUGUGCCAGCUAGGCAGUCUUAAGCUCCCUACCUAAAGAGAGGAUUUGUUAGCCUCUCACUGACAGAGACUUGGAAAGCACCCAGUUUAGUCAUGGCAACAAGACAAGGCUUUGCGAAGGACGAUUGACAAUAAUGACGUGUAAGAAGUGCAUAACACAGAAAAAGAAAUGGAAUCAUUUGAAUCCAUACAGGAAAAGAACCAGUUUUGAUUUUCUAAGAUGGAAACCAUGAGAAAAUGAGAAUGGAUUCAAAGCCAUUUACGGGCCUGCCUAUACGUGUACCAUGCAUCACAUGGCGGGGACACGUAGCAGCAAGGUCUCCAGGCGAGGCAGCCAGCAGCGCCACCCGUGGGAGCUGCUCUGGGUCUGGGCACAGGUGCUUCCAUUGUCGUCUGAGCACAAGGCUCAGACCUUCAGUCACAUCAACCUGAGGACUGUGAAGAACUUUCAUGCCAAACUUCCUCCAAGAAGCUCUUUCUGGUCCCCAAGGGUCCAUAUUUCCCAUGACUUCUCUGAUUCAGGAAGAUGAUCCUUGCAGGGCCUCUCCUGGGGCAGUGUUAACCAGACUCAAUGUGCUACUACCGUUGGUGGCAUUUAGUUCCGAUGCUUCUCCCUUGGGCCUUGUCCUCAAAGUCCUGGACCCAGCCUGUGGCCCUGGAGGAAGCUUAUCUUUGUUUGACCUUUUAUCUGAACAACCAUGGGGAUUUCCAGUUUCCAGUUUGGGAUUCUAGUGUACGUCUGUGCAGUGCAUCAUGGACUGACUUCACCCCCUCGAGCAUUACUUUAAAUGUUUAGAGAUAAACUUUGUCAUCUGUGCAUCACUGUGACAGCUACGAAACUAGAAAAGAGAACAUUGAGGCUAUUUUGGGUAGCAUUUUUUUUUUUCAAUUCAAAUAAUCUUGAGUUCCUUAAGACUUACCAGCACUUUUUGGCCAUCUGGUCAGAUUCGUUUGCCACUGGAAAAGCAUUUUACUGUUAGAAUGUUGGGUCCAGGAAUGUCCUCAAUGGGAGCAGCAUGACUUAGAAUGGAAUCUUUGCCUAUUACUCAGACUUGCAACUUGAAUCUCCCAGGAGAAGCUGCUGAUUUUGGUGCUGGAAAAUAUCCUACGAGGACUAUUCUAAGUUAUAUCUCAAGCUGCUUUCCGAACUAAGGAUGCUCUUAUCAGCUUCUGGAACUUUAAGCAAGAGGCCUACUAGGCACAAGCCUUGAUGUUUCAUGAAGAAAUUAUCUUCCUAUUUAUCUUUAAAAGAAUUCAUUUCUAUUUUGAGGGUAAUCCAAGAUAAAAAGGGGCGAUGAGAUGUAGAGAGUGACGGAAGCAAGAGAUGGGAGAAGGAGAUGGGAGCUUGGAGAAGACGUUAGGGAGUGAUAAAGUCACCUGGAUGGAAAUGCAUCUUCUCAGCCCUCUCUUCUCAGGAAUCAGACGUAAGUCCCUGGGGUGCUGGAGCAGAGACAAAUCAAAAUGAAAGAAUUGCGUUUUCUCUUCAGCAAUCAAGAUGCUGCUACUAGAAUCAUGAAAGUUUUGCUAGGCUGGAUGAUGAUAGAACUGAAGAAUGAUGAAGCCAGAAAGAGGCCCUGGAGAUAAUCUAAUCCAGUUCCUCCAUUUGGAAAAGACACAUCUAAGAGUGAAGGAAGACUAAAAUCGAAAGGCGAAGUGGGAGACUGAGCUCCGGGAACACGCAGGCCCUCAGAUCCUGGAGCCGUGCAGGGGGCGUUCCUGCUGUCUUGGCUGUUCCCUGUGCUGCUCACCGCCCCACCCAGGAGAGGCAGAGAGGCCCAGAGGCUGAGGGCCUGGACCAGCCGGCUGUGAGUCUGGGGUAUUUCCCUCAGUGCACGCAGGACCUUGG